AUCGAACCUCCUCUCACACGAAUAGUUGGCCGCGGAGCUUUCAUUUCAAGCAAAAAUAUGAAAAAACUUCUCUCAAUACCGAGGCAUGGGGUGGUUGUCUCUUUCAAACAAUCCACGGCCACUGCACAGCCUAAGGAGAACCUGCCAGAUGACACACCUGCACAGCCUAAACCGUUCAUAGAUAUACCAGGACCAAAGGGGAUGUACAAUUUGCCUGUACUUGGGAAUGCCUUUCAUUUUGCUCCUUAUCUGAAAAGUGGAGGCUCUCACUUGUAUUUCCGGGAACUGAACAAGCAGUAUGGUAAGAUUGUGCGAGUUCGCCUGGGACCUAACCAAACCGUAAUGUUAUUCGAUCCCGAACUAAUCAGUCAAACCAUAGCGAACGAGGGUGCCUAUCCAGUUCGUCGUUCAGUCCCCAUCAUGGAAACAUACGUAAAACGAACAAAGAGAAAUAUGCUGAGUGUACAGUACGUUCAUCCAUUCUAUAAAUACUCUAUUACCGUAUAACCGGUUAUUUCCGCGAUAAUCUAAUUUUUGGUGGGUUUUUUUUGCGAUCACUUAAACGUCGCGAAUUGCUUACGUAGGAAAUAUAUUGGGUACUUUUUGUUAUUGUAGACUUUUUAAUCUCACAAAAGACUUUAGCAAAUAAAGAAAGAGUGUCACAUUUUUCUUAUUUCGCAUUUUUGCGACACGCAAAAAAAAAGCAAACCCAAAUCAAAAACAAAAUACAAAAAAAAACCCAACAAAAACAAACCAAACAAAACACAAACGAUUGUACGGCAAUCUGUUUCAUUGAAAUACAUAUCUGAUUUUAGUAAUAAUUUUUGAUUUUACGAGGAAUGGACCGGACUGGCAGAGUUACCGUAGUGCAGCACAACAGAGUGUCAAACCAACCAUCAUAAAGAACUAUAUAGAACCACAGGCUCAGUGUGCAGACGACCUUGUCACGUGGCUUGAAAAAUAUGGCAAUAACAAUCCCGAGGUCAAAUUCGCAUUUAUGUGCUAUUCUGCUGAUGCAUCAGGCAGUUUAUGGCACUGAUAGGCCAAAGCAUCUUUUCCUUGCCAUGGUAUAGACUUUGGCGGACAAAACUCUACAUGGAUUUCGAGAACGCCACCAAUAAUGUCUAUAGAAUAAGUGAAAAGUUUAUAGGGGAAGCAAGAAUUGAAUUACUUCAGAAAAGUAAAAAUGGCGAAUUUGACAUAGCCGAAAGUGACCUGACCGUGCUGAAAUGCCUUCUUCAAGAUAAUCGAUUAACCAAUCAAACCAUAACGGAUGUAAUGGCAGCGUUCCUGUUUGCAGGUGUAGAACAGGUAUCCCAGGCUUUGAUAUGGAUGUUUUGGUUGAUUGGAAAGUCUCCAGAGAAGCAAGCAAAGCUUUACGAAGAAAUUGCUUCUAACAUAGGCUCAUCCCCAGUCACUGCCGCAAACCUCGGAUACUUACCUUAUCUAAAGGCCUGCGUCAAGGAAUCAUUCAGAUGUGUUCCACCAGUGGCUUCUGGUACAGCAAGAGUUCUUCAACUUGAUACGGAAAUAGGAGGGUAUUUGAUUCCCAAAGGGACAACUGUAAUGUUUGGCAACAACACAUUAUCGAUGUCAGAAGAACAGUUUGCAAACCCUGAAGAGUUUCUCCCAGAGCGCUGGUUAGACUCAAACGACCCCCAAAAACAGAGACAAAUGGGUAUGUGUGUUUUGCCAUUCGGGAUAGGAAAAAGAAACUGUAUGGGGAGGCGAUUCGCCGAACAGGAAAUCCAUUUGGCAACAAUUAAGAUUUUGCAAAAUUUCCAUGUUGAAGUGACAGAUGACUGCCGUUAUGCUAAGCCUACAUACACAACAUUUGCUGAGCCAGACCGACCAAUCAAAUUCAUUUUCGAUAAAAGAUGAAAUCAAAGGAAUUUUUUAAAAAUUUAAUAAUGAACUGUACAAAACUUUUAAAGAAAAAUGAUUUAC
rnacentral:misc_RNA from 1 species